CAAGCAUAGUACCCAGCACCUAGGAAGGAAACAGAACGAUGCUGCUGUCACAGGGUCAUUGUUGCUAUUAUUAUUCCUUUUGCUUGGGUUCUCAAGGCUGAGCUCACAUGGCCCUGUCAGGGGAGGAAGAGGAGCAGAGAAGACGUCAGGAACACACUGCAAACCGCCUUUCACAUUUCACACCUCCAGGCAAUAGAAACAGCCGGACUUUCCUUGAAUAUUCUUCCAUGAAGACUGCAGAAGGCAAGGGUCUUUCUUUGGGAAAUAACAAUAAUACUUCACUAGAAUGUCAAUAAUAAUUAAGCUGGGGGUGUAUAGGGAAGAAAUAAAAGCAACAUCCCUCAAGGCUUAUAUUACUUCUAAUGUGCAAAUCUUUGCACACAUGACCUCUCUGCCCCAGUGUGCUAUCGAUGUACACCCAUCAAGGCUUAAGGUAAAGAACCACCACACCCGAUUAUAUGUGUAAUGUGGCUGCACCCUUUUGGG
rnacentral:lncRNA from 1 species